rnacentral:rRNA from 1 species
GAUGAACGCUGGCGGCGUGCCUAAUACAUGCAAGUCGAACGAAACUUCUUUAUCACCGAGUGCUUGCACUCACCGAUAAAGAGUUGAGUGGCGAACGGGUGAGUAACACGUGUGCAACCUGCCCAAAAGAGGGGGAUAACACUUGGAAACAGGUGCUAAUACCGCAUAACCAUAGUUACCGCAUGGUAACUAUGUAAAAGGUGGCUAUACUACCGCUUUUGGAUGGGCCCGCGGCGCAUUAGCUAGUUGGUAGGGUAAAGGCUUACCAAGGCAAUGAUGCGUAGCCGAAGUGAGAGGUUGAUCGGCCACAUUGGGACUGAGACACGGCCCAAACUCCUACGGGAGACAGCAGUAGGGAAUCUUCCACAAUGGGCGAAAGCCUGAUGGAGCAACGCCGCGUGGGUGAAGAAGGUCUUCGGAUCGUAAAACCCUGUUGUUAGAGAAGAAAGUGCGUGAGAGUAACUGUUCACGUUUCGACGGUAUCUAACCAGAAAGCCACGGCUAACUACGUG